rnacentral:rRNA from 1 species
AUUGAACGCUGGCGGCAGGCCUAACACAUGCAAGUCGAGCGGAUGAAGGGGGCUUGCUCCUGGAUUCAGCGGCGGACGGGUGAGUAAUGCGCAGGAAUCUACCUCGUAGUGGGGGAUAACGUCUCGAAAGGGGCGCUAAUACCGCAUACGUUCUGAGGAAGAAAGCAGGGGGACCUUCGGGCCUUGCGCUAUGAGAUGAGCUUGCGUCCGAUUAGCUAGUUGGUGGGGUAAAGGCUCACCAAGGCGACGAUCCGUAGCGGGUCUGAGAGGACGACCCGCCACACUGGAACUGAGACACGGUCCAGACUCCUACGGGAGGCAGCAGUGGGGAA